UACAGAGGGUGCGAGCGUUAAUCGGAUUUACUGGGCGUAAAGCGUGCGUAGGCGGCUUUUUAAGUCGGAUGUGAAAUCCCUGAGCUUAACUUAGGAAUUGCAUUCGAUACUGGGAAGCUAGAGUAUGGGAGAGGAUGGUAGAAUUCCAGGUGUAGCGGUGAAAUGCGUAGAGAUCUGGAGGAAUACCGAUGGCGAAGGCAGCCAUCUGGCCUAAUACUGACGCUGAGGUACGAAAGCAUGGGGAG
rnacentral:rRNA from 1 species